CUGUCUGAAUAUGGGGGGACCAUCCUCCAAGGCUAAAUACUCCUGACUGACCGAUAGUGAACCAGUACCGUGAGGGAAAGGCGAAAAGAACCCCGGCGAGGGGAGUGAAAAAGAACCUGAAACCGUGUACGUACAAGCAGUGGGAGCACCUUCGGGUGUGACUGCGUACCUUUUGUAUAAUGGGUCAGCGACUUAUAUUCUGUAGCAAGGUUAACCGUAUAGGGGAGCCGCAGGGAAACCGAGUCUUAA
rnacentral:rRNA from 1 species